CAACUGCUCUUCUUUCAAGGAGAGUCACCUAGGUGUCUUCCACAGUGCCCCCUUCUUCGCUUUGAAGAAGCUGGAGCAGGGUCAUUGGGGCUGCAUGGCCUCUAGUCAGGACGGGGCUGUGAAUCCUCUGCGACAUACUUUAAUGAAAAGGAUUAUAAGCAAGAAAAUGAGCACACCAAUCCCAAUAUAAAACCAGAAGUGAGCCUUGAAAUAUGCAAAUGGGUUCAAUUGUUCUAUAGCAUCCGAAAACUCAUCCCAGUCUCUGAUUUGGUUAUCACGAUGGUAGUCUGUGACUGACCUGCUUGUUUUUCCAAGUUAUGUUGCAAAGACAGUAGAGCCUCCUUCAGUAGGUACCAUGUGGCUAUGGUUUGUGGAUGGAUUCUUUAUUCUGGGUUUUAGCUUUAUAAAGGCUUUCGCCUACUUUAUCCCAAACUCUGAGAUAGAGUGUACCGGCUUUGGGAAAGGAAAGAUAGAAUGUAGCUAUCUCAUGGAGUAAUCGAAAAACCUGCUUAGAUGGCACAUUAGUGUCUGUGUCAUUUCAUAGCUUCCUAACCAAUAGACCGAAUUCUCUCUCUUUUGCAGGUGAAGAAUGCACUUGCCCCAUUGCUACCCUUGAGGAGCAGACUCCUACUCGCUACUUGCGUCUGAGCACUAAAAUUAGUAAAAUGCUCUGCUUACCUCUAAAUUGGUCACGCGAGGUCCAGUGGAUUGCCGGCUCCUGAGUCUGGAUAUGGUCCCUGUGCUGAGGGGGCUGUGCCUUCUGGCCGCAUUGAGCGCCACAUAGAGAGAGCCCUCCCUGGUCCUCGGCUCAGCCCAGGAAGUUUGUAUGUGCAAUCCCAUGAAAAGUUAUUGGAAUUCUAGCAAGGUCCUGCUCCUGGGCACGCGGAGGACCGGAGAGGUCAGGAACUCGGUCAUCACACAGCCGAUAAACAGCAGGCUGAGUCUGCAUGCGGGACAGCUGACUGCAGGACCGGCUCUCCUGCCUCUCAGGGACCCGGGCAUCUCCACAGCUGCCCCUGUCUGCAGCUCAUUGGUACCAUGAACCCGGCGUCUCCACCACUCGCCGUGGGCACUGAGGGUGGCAGACAGGCUGUGCAUAAUGGCCGGGACAGGGACCCCGUUCCCCCACCUGCACUGGCCCCUGAGCAAAGCAGGAGACAUUGAAACGAGAUGACGCCCAGUGCCGCGGACCACAAGAGAAGCCAGGGACGGAGAGCCGGGAGGCCUGAGGCUUUGGGGCCCUCGGCCCGCACCCCUCCUGUCUCCACCCCGGGCCUUCCUGUCCUCUGGACACCUGGGCUCAGCCCUGUCCAUACCUGCAGUCCAUCCAUCGCCCUCCUCGCCUUUCCCCUCUUCUUGAGCAUGAGAAUCACGCACACCAUUGUUGAAAGUGUGCCUGGGCCUCACUUGGCCUGGACCCUGACCCUCCAGGGAGGGGCGGGGACCCCAGGCCCUUCCUUCCCGCCGAGCCAGCUUGUGCAGCGCCGAUUGUAAUCAUGAUGUACAGCAAAUGUGCAGUAACAGUAAAAAUUACAGCAAA